AUUGAACGCUAGCGGCAUGCUUUACACAUGCAAGUCGAACGAGUGGCGGACGGGUGAGUAAUAUAUCGGAACGUGCCCAGUGGAGGGGGAUAACUACUCGAAAGAGUGGCUAAUACCGCAUACUAUUGGAGCGGCCCAGAUGGGAUUAGCUAGUUGGUGGGGUAAAGGCUCACCAAGGCAACGAUCCGUAGCUGGUCUGAGAGGAUGACCAGCCACACUGGGACUGAGACACGGCCCAGACUCCUACGGGAGGCAGCAGUGGGGAAUAUUGGACAAUGGGGGAAAGCCUGAUCCAGCCAUCCCGCGUGUAUGAGAAGGCCUUCGGGUUGUAAAGUACUUUUGGCAGGGAGGCGUUAUCUGCAGAAUAAGCACCGGCUAACUACGUGCCAGCAGCCGCGGUAAUUC
rnacentral:rRNA from 1 species